UACGUAGGGUGCAAGCGUUGUCCGGAAUUACUGGGCGUAAAGGGCUCGUAGGUGGCCAACUAAGUCAGACGUGAAAUCCCUCGGCUUAACCGGGGAACUGCGUGUGAUACUGGCGGGCUUGAAUUCGGGAGAGGGAUGUGGAAUUCCUGGUGUAGCGGUGAAAUGCGCAGAUAUCAGGAGGAACACCGGUGGCGAAGGCGGCAUCCUGGACCGGCAUUGACGCUGAGGCGCGAAAGCUAGGGGAGCGAACAGG
rnacentral:rRNA from 1 species